AAAGUUUCAAACAGAUUACAAAUCUUCAACAACAAAAUCAUAUUUCAAUAAGAUCUGAACUGCAUGAAGAAGAAGAGCGUCUAAGAUCAAGCAACGUGAAAAGCUCAACAGUUUUCCAGACCGUGACGAGGCCAGUAAGAUGGAUGUUCAGCUGUUUCACUAAUAACUGGAAUGGCACUGGAAACCAGAACCCCAG